GACGAACGCUGGCGGCGUGCCUAAUACAUGCAAGUAGAACGCUGAAGGAGGAGCUUGCUUCUCUGGAUGAGUUGCGAACGGGUGAGUAACGCGUAGGUAACCUGCCUGGUAGCGGGGGAUAACUAUUGGAAACGAUAGCUAAUACCGCAUAAGAGUAGAUGUCGCAUGACAUUUGCUUAAAAGGUGCAAUUGCAUCACUACCAGAUGGACCUGCGUUGUAUUAGCUAGUUGGUGAGGUAACGGCUCACCAAGGCAACGAUACAUAGCCGACCUGAGAGGGUGAUCGGCCACACUGGGACUGAGACACGGCCCAGACUCCUACGGGAGGCAGCAGUAGGGAAUCUUCGGCAAUGGACGGAAGUCUGACCGAGCAACGCCGCGUGAGUGAAGAAGGUUUUCGGAUCGUAAAGCUCUGUUGUAAGAGAAGAACGAGUGUGAGAGUGGAAAGUUCACACUGUGACGGCAUCUUACCAGAAAGGGACGGCUAACUACGUG
rnacentral:rRNA from 1 species